GUAAAUAUAGUUUAUAUAAAACUUUAGAUUGUGAAUCUGACAAUAAGAGCUAAAACUCUUUAUUUACC
rnacentral:tRNA from 1 species